UACAUUGAAACACCGGUUCUCGUCUCAUCGCCAAAGUUAAGGAACAUCUAGCUUGGUAAAUACCUUGAUGGGCGACCACUUGAGAAUACCAGGUGCUGGA